UUGUUCCCUUAGUAGAGGCUGUGUUG
rnacentral:piRNA from 1 species